rnacentral:lncRNA from 1 species
AAUUGAGGUUUAAUGUAUAUACACUAAAUUGUAGCGGUUUUAUUUAAUAGUGGCAGUAGCUCUCAGCAGAUGGAUGGGGAGUCAGAAGGGGGAUGGAGUGGGAAGGUAGUUUUACCCUGGAGUUGGGCUGCUUAGCGGCUGGACUCUCUUCCAACCGCUUUGGCCAAAUUCCCCUCGCUGUCUGCAUCGUUCCACCGAUCAAUGGCCUGCCAGUGUCUGCUGGUGCCUGUUGGUAUGUUCUUCCACUCCUCUCGAUGUCCAGCUGCUUGUGUGCUCUUCUGCCGGUGUGUUCCUCUUGAUAUCCAGCAGCUUCUGUCCCUUCCUGCUAGGGUCUUGGGGUUUUUAUGGGCACAGGAUGUGGGGGUGGCAGGCCAGGGUGGUCUUGGAAAAUGCAACAUUUGGGUGCCAAGCAGGAGUGCUUGUCCUCACCUUGGUCUGUGGGCACAGGCCCAGUGGUGGAACCCUCACCAGGGACCCUGCCCUUUUCAUCCCUGCACUUCCUUGCCCCCCUCCCUGAUAUCAAAGCCAGAGACAGAUGUCACAAGAAAAGCAAACUAUAGACCAGUAUUCUUUAUGAGUAUGGAUGAAAAUAUACUUAAUAAAAUACUAGCAAGCCGAAUACAGCAUAUUGAGAGGAUUAUACAUCAUAACUAAGUGAGAUUUAGCCCAGGAAUACAAAGGCAGUUCAACAUACAAAAAUCAAUCAAUGUAAUACACAUUAAUAGAAUGAAGGAAUAACCACAUGAUCAUCUCAGUUUACACAGAAAAAGCAUUUGACAAAAUCCAACAUUCUUUCAUGCUAUCUGCCCAACUUUAUAGGAAAUUGUUUGUUGACUCUGCCAUAGUAGGUCACCAAGGACAAGGAGAGGUAUUGGAAGAAUACACAUGAAAAGUUGUUAUAGGACAGA